CCUACGGGAGGCAGCAGUCGAGAAUCUUCCGCAAUGGGGGAAACCCUGACGGAGCGACGCCGCGUGCGGGAUGAAGGCCUUCGGGUUGUAAACCGCUGUCGUAGGGGAGCAAAUUUUGAGCGAUCCUAGGAGGAAGCACCGGCUAAACUCGUGCCAGCAGCCGCGGUAAUACGAGUGGUGCAAACGUUAUUCGGAAUCACUGGGCUUAAAGGGUGCGUAGGCGGCCAUGAAGGUCUGAUGUGAAAUACCACGGCUCAACCGUGGAAUGGCAUUGGAAACCACAUGGCUGGAGUGAGACAGAGGUGAGCGGAACAGAUGGUGGAGCGGUGAAAUGCGUUGAUAUCAUCUGGAACACCGGUGGCGAAAGCGGCUCACUGGGUCUUUACUGACGCUGAGGCACGAAAGCUAGGGGAGCAAACGGGAUUAGAUACCCCGGUAGUCCUAGCUGUAAACGAUGAGUACUAGUCCGAGGGGACCCCCACACUCCUCUCGGACGUAGCGAAGUGUUAAGUACUCCGCCGUGGGUAGGUAGUGUCGCGACGCGUGAACGUACGAAACGGUAAGUUAGUACGGUUCGUUGUAGACGUUGCCGACGGACGACGACGAGGGAGGAGG
rnacentral:rRNA from 1 species